UACGUAGGGUGCAAGCGUUGUCCGGAAUUAUUGGGCGUAAAGAGCUCGUAGGCGGUCUGUCGCGUCGGCUGUGAAAACUUGGGGCUCAACCCCAAGCCUGCAGUCGAUACGGGCAGACUAGAGUGCGGUAGGGGAGACUGGAAUUCCUGGUGUAGCGGUGAAAUGCGCAGAUAUCAAGGAGGGAACACCGGUGGCGAAGGCGGGGUCUCUGGGCCGUAACUGACGCUGAGGAGCGAAAGCAUGGGGGAGCGAACAGGA
rnacentral:rRNA from 1 species